UACGAGGGGGGCAACUGUUGUUCGGAAUCACUGGGCGUAAAGGGAGCGUAGGCGGGUUUUUAAGUCAGGUGUUUAAUCCCGGGGCCCAACCCCGGACCGGCACUUGAAACUGGGAAUCUUGAAUAGUGGAGAGGUCAGUGGAAUUGGGGGUGUAGCGGUGGAAUGCGUAGAGAUCCCCAAGAACACCAGUUGCGAAGGCGGCUCACUGGGCUGACCUUGACGCUGAGGCGCGAAGGCGUGGGGAGCGAACGGG
rnacentral:rRNA from 1 species